rnacentral:rRNA from 1 species
AACGAACGCUGGCGGCAGGCUUAACACAUGCAAGUCGAGCGCCUCGCCAGAGGAGCGGCAGACGGGUGAGUAACGCGUGGGAACGUACCCUUAUCUUCGUAAUAGCUCUGGGAAACUGGAAGUAAUACCGAAUGUGCCCUUAGGGGGAAAGAUUUAUCGGAUAAGGCACGGCUCGCGUUUGAUGAGCUAGCUGGCGGGGUAAAGGCCUACCAAGGCGGCGAUGGAUAGCCGGUCUGAGGGGAUGAGCAGCCACAUUGGAACUGAGACACGGCCCAAACUCCGGCGGGAGGCCGCGGCAGGGACUCUUCGGGAAGGGGCGAGAGGGGGACGGAGCAACGGGGCGGGAGUGAUGAACGUCCUCUGAGCGGAAAAAUAUGUUAUUAGGGGAGAAGAAAUGUGUAAGCAACGGUGAACAUAUUGACGGUACCUAAUCAGAAAGCCACGGCUAACUACGUG